UACGUAGGGUGCAAGCGUUGUCCGGAAUUAUUGGGCGUAAAGAGUUCGUAGGCGGUUUGUCGCGUCCGUUGUGAAAGCUCGGGGCUUAACCCCGGGCCUGCAGUGGGUACGGGCAGACUAGAGUGCGGUAGGGGAGACUGGAGUUCCUGGUGUAGCGGUGAAAUGCGCAGAUAUCAGGAGGAACACCGGUGGCGAAGGCGGGUCUCUGGGCAAUAACUGACGCUGAGGAGCGAAAGCGUGGGGAGCGAACAGG
rnacentral:rRNA from 1 species